ACGCUGGCGGCAGGCCUAACACAUGCAAGUCGAGCGGUAGAGAGAAGCUUGCUUCUCUUGAGAGCGGCGGACGGGUGAGUAAUGCCUAGGGAUCUGCCUGGUAGUGGGGGAUAACGUUCGGAAACGGACGCUAAUACCGCAUACGUCCUACGGGAGAAAGCAGGGGACCUUCGGGCCUUGCGCUAUCAGAUGAGCCUAGGUCGGAUUAGCUAGUUGGUGGGGUAAUGGCUCACCAAGGCGACGAUCCGUAACUGGUCUGAGAGGAUGAUCAGUCACACUGGAACUGAGACACGGUCCAGACUCCUACGGGAGGCAGCAGUGGGGAAUAUUGGACAAUGGGCGAAAGCCUGAUCCAGCCAUGCCGCGUGUGUGAAGAAGGUCUUCGGAUUGUAAAGCACUUUAAGUUGGGAGGAAGGGCAGUAAAUUAAUACUUUGCUGUCUUGACGUUACCGACAGAAUAAGCACCGGCUAACUCUGUGCCAGCAGCCGCGGUAAUACAGAGGGUGCAAGCGUUAAUCGGAAUUACUGGGCGUAAAGCGCGCGUAGGUGGUUCGUUAAGUUGGAUGUGAAAUCCCCGGGCUCAACCUGGGAACUGCAUUCAAAACUGACGAGCUAGAGUAUGGUAGAGGGUGGUGGAAUUUCCUGUGUAGCGGUGAAAUGCGUAGAUAUAGGAAGGAACACCAGUGGCGAAGGCGACCACCUGGACUGAUACUGACACUGAGGUGCGAAAGCGUGGGGAGCAAAC
rnacentral:rRNA from 1 species